rnacentral:lncRNA from 1 species
AUUGACCACUCACAACCUUCAUGCAUACUUCACCAUAUCCAAAAUAUCCCACACACAUCUCAAAGUAGUAUGCUAGAGAAUAAACCAAAGUAAGGAUCCAUAUACACAAGGUAUCAUAGUGAUCUCAGAUUAACGAAUCACAUGCACCACUCCCACUGGAGAACCAUCUGUCGACAUGCUGUAAGGCUCUAUCAGAUAUUCUUCCUAUAGGUCAGUUCAGUAAACUCAUUCUUAAUGAGCACCUACAUUCUUAUAUUAAUGUCACCACAUAAGUAAUUUGAGAUCAACCACCCUCUCCAUCGAGCAUAC